ACGAAAACGUAUAAAAUUAUAGAAACAAUAGCCGCGGCUGAGGCAGCGGCGGCGGUACCGUACAAUGCGUGUGUACGAUGUCGAAAUCGUAAAAAAUUUAAUACUGACGAUAAACUGCACGUUGCAGCUCGUCUUAAAAUUCGUUCGCUAAACAAUACGAUACAUAUUGUAUAUUAUUAUAGUCUAUCCUCGUCAAACCGAAAUAAGAAUAACGUCGAAUUUAGCCUGUGUGACCCGGCCGUGGAUCGGUUCGUAUAGCUGUUUCAUCGCCACGAUAAAAAAAACGUUCUCGAGAAAAAAAAGAAAGACGUAUUUUCGCACCGUGGGCGGGCCGCUGUUGUAGCCGGCGAGUUUGACGAAAGGCGAGCAGACGUGAUUUCGGUUUAUGUUUCUUUACGCAACAAUAGAUCGUCGCAAACGAAAACCGACUCUGAGCGAAGUUCACGGUUAUGAACACACGUCGAAACUAUAUAAUAAAAUAAAUUAUCCGUGUUUUUCCGUCUCCGAUAUUUUAAAUCGCUAACUCAUGGCCAAGAAAACUCGAAAAUGUCGAAUAGCUGUGUAAUACUAACGCGAAAAUAUGCCGGAAUAUUUAGAAUAUUGCACCGCGUCCGGACAGGGAAAAUGGAAAUAUUCGGUGAAAGUUUCAGGUUUAAUGGCAUUUACCCAAGUACAUAGGUAGGUAUAUGAUAUUAUACACAUUAUUAUCGUUAUCAUUACUAUUAUCAUUAUAAUAUUAUACAUUCAUUACGCAUAUAGUUUUGCUCAGGCGGAUUUCGCUAAAAAAAAUCUGUAUGGCUUUCCGAUAUUAUACAAAAACAAUAGAUAAAAUAUGUCUGUCCGUAGAUUGUUGAAUGAAAGUUACAAAAAUAAAAAAACUGAAAGUUUUAAAAGUAUUGAUUUCGCUAUUCUAGUUUCCACUUACGACUUAAUCUUUGGCGUGGUAAAAUCUAAUUUCUUUUUGUAUAAUAUAUGUAAACAUAAUUUGAAUUUAAAACAAACGUUUUUCGAGCUUGUCAAAUUAUCCCAGAAAAUUACACGUUUGGUUUGAAGUGCACUUUGGACUUAUCGACACACAAAAUCCAAUAUUCCGAUUGAGUACAAGUACAGAGUACAAGGUUACAUAUCCCAAAAGCCGUACACGUACAAAUCAAAAAUGACAGUUCUUUGCACUCCCGGGUUUUGAUUACGUCCCAUUCAUAUUUUUUUUCGUGUUUUUUUUUUUCACCAUAGAUGUUUGCCUACCAUAUUGAUCAUAAAACGCGAACGAGAACCCGUGGUCGUAAAUCAAUAUUAUGUUUUAAAACGUGUCACGUAAGAGAUGCAAUAUUAAAACAACUUACCUAUGUGACGUAGAUGCUAUUCAUAUGCAAUUUUUAUCGGGCACUUCGGAUAUUAAAAAUUAAAUUUUCACGCGGAAUUAUUUAGUUGUUCUCGUAUUAUCGUAUUAUAUAUUAUAACACUUUUGACUCGUGUACUUACUAAAACAAACUACUACUUACCGUGUUCCCCGUGCAAAUUUUAUCCGCAUUUCUUUGGCUACGUAACGGAAUUUACCUCGUUA
rnacentral:lncRNA from 1 species